UUAUUUGAAAGGCGGAAGGUCGGUGGCAAGUUUAAUUGGCGGAGUGGUUCACCUAGCUACGACGACAGAUAUCGGUAGUUCAGCGUUGAAACUUUGCGACAACAAACUCGGUAAGACGAUUUCUUUCAAUGGAUACCACGUAGUGCUAGGACUACGCGCGACUGUUCAUCCUUAAGAAGGUCAACGACCCUUGCCCGUGCAGUCUGUACACCGUCCGGCGAAUUUUAUUCAUUUUUAUUUGCUCAAAUUCGCCUUGGCUCGGUUUUAUCCGCCACUCGCUUCCCCGUCAGUGGGGGGUGGGACCGUCUGCGUGAGCAAUCGCAGGCCGUCAUUUGGGCAAUUUACACUUAAGGACCCAUUGCAGCCCAGAAUUCCCCUUGAAAUCCUGAGUAGAGCAUGCUGCAGUCAAAUCUCACCUGAAGCGCACAGGUAUCGUCUUGAGACUGACCCCAUACCGCAGCGAUUACGCUACGGUCAAAGGCUCUUUUAAUUGUUUUUCUUUUUUUAAUGGAUGUACCCGGAUGUGGAAUCGAACUCGGGGUCAAGUUGUUAGUACAGUAGUACUACUAACUGACGCCUUAUCCGACUACCCUACCCGUUCCCCUAUGGCAAUGUUAAUCCGCUAGAUGGCUAUGUCGUCUGCUACCAACAGUUUAAAGUGUCAAACAACAACAAACAAACUUUUAUUAAAUAAACUACUCGAAACCAUAUUCUCUUUCGUAUAAGCUUUUAUGAUUUAAUAUUAAUUUAAUCAGUUGAGAUUAGUUGCCGUUUAAUUAUUCAGAAUACUCCACUGUCAAUUACAAUUUACAGUAAUCAUCAAAAAUUGUAAUGCAAUCAUUGUGAAGUUAACCAUCUUGGCUGGAAUAAUAUCUGGGUUAACGCGAAAUCCUCCCAUGGGAUGGGUUUUGGUGUAAUACAGACUGCAAAAAUGAUCCCGAAAACUGCAAUAUUAGUGAAAACUUUUAUGGAAAUGGCUGCCAUCAAAGUAUCUGAAGGAUAUUUAAGUACUGGUUUCAAUAUAAUAUCAUUGGAUGAAUGUUGCCUUGAUCAUAAUCGCUCAGAGAAUGGGCAAUUCAAGCUGAUGCCUCAAGUGGAAUCAAAGCUGCCUUGCUGACUAUUUUCAUUCGAAAGGUUUACAAUUUGGAAUGUAUUGAAAACUACUGAAGUAACGGAACUUUAACGACAUCGAUGAUUUGUGGGACGUGGGUCAAGCAUCAUUGAUUAUUAUGGUGACAAGCAUGAUAGUUUGAUCCUGGUUGCUGGACCUGGCCACUGGAAUGAUCCUGAAAUCAUUGUGAAUAUGGUUAUACUUAACCUUAGCGAAUAUUCUCUAAUUGUGUUCCAAAAUGAUUCCUUGAAUUCUUUUCUUCUUCAUUUUGACCGAUUUGAACACGAAACCAUAGACAACCGAUCCGAUGGUUUCUCGUAAUAAUAACUUAAACUUACUUAA